CCUACGGGGGGCUGCAGUCGAGAAUCAUUCACAAUGGGGGAAACCCUGAUGGUGCGACGCCGCGUGGGGGAAUGAAGGUCUUCGGAUUGUAAACCCCUGUCAUGUGGGAGCAAAUUAAAAAGAUAGUACCACAAGAGGAAGAGACGGCUAACUCUGUGCCAGCAGCCGCGGUAAUACAGAGGUCUCAAGCGUUGUUCGGAAGCACUGGGCGUAAAGCGUGCGUAGGCUGUUUCGUAAGUCGUGUGUGAAAGGCGCGGGCUCAACCCGCGGACGGCGCAUGAUACUGCGAGACUAGAGUAAGGGAGGGGGAACCGGAAUUCUCGGUGUAGCAGUGAAAUGCGUAGAUAUCGAGAGGAACACUCGUGGCGAAGGCGGGUUCCUGGACAUUAACUGACGCUGAGGCACGAAGGCCAGGGGAGCGAAAGGGAUUAGAUACCCUUGUAGUC
rnacentral:rRNA from 1 species